GGGUGUUUGGUCUAGUAGUAUGAUUCUUGUUUCGGGUGCAAGAGGCCUUUAGUUCAAUUUUUACAACACCCC
rnacentral:tRNA from 1 species